AUUGAACGCUGGCGGCAGGCCUAACACAUGCAAGUCGAACGAGUGGCGGACGGGUGAGUAAUGUCUGGGAAACUGCCCGAUGGAGGGGGAUAACUACUGGAAACGGUAGCUAAUACCGCAUACCAUCGGAUGUGCCCAGAUGGGAUAAGCUAGUAGGGGGGGUAACGGCUCACCUAGGCGACGAUCCCUAGCUGGUCUGAGAGGAUGACCGGCAACACUGGAACUGAGACACGGUCCAGACGCCUACGGGAGUGAGAAGUGGGGAAUAUUGCAAAAUGGGCGAAAGCCUGAUGCAGCCAUGCCGCGUGUAUGAAGAAGGCCUUCGGGUUGUAAAGUACUUUCAGCGAGGAGGCGUUAAUCGCAGAAGAAGCACCGGCUAACUCCGUGCCAGCAGCCGCGGUAAUAC
rnacentral:rRNA from 1 species